AUCCGUACUGAUAUAAAUAAAUGAUUAAGUAAAUAAAUGGGGAAGCAGAGACAGAUCUCCCAUGCAGAAGAAUUCCCAUAAUUUAUGUAGAUAAGGUGCCCUCCUCCAUGGGAUGGGACAGAACUGCCCUCUCCUUAACUGUGGGAUACACAUAGUAACUUACUGCCAAAGAACACAAAAUGGAAAGGAGGGGAAAGAAUCCACUUUCCAUUGGAGACAAACACUACCUCAGCCAGGUGACCCAGGUGCGCAUCAGAAGCAAUAAGGCAUGUUGAUAGCAUGUACCCUUGAUAUGAUGUGCUGAGACUGGCAUUUUAUCUCUCUGCUCUUCCUCCUAAAAACUCAUAUCUCCGGUGUAAUCAUGAGAAAAACAUGAGGUGAAUCCCAGUUGAGAGAUAAUUCUACAAACAACUUGACCAGUACUUCUACACCUGUCAAGGUCAUUACAAAUAAGGAAAGGCUCAGAGUCUGUCACAGCCAAGAGGAGCCUAAGGAGACAUGAAGACUAAAUGCAAUGGAACCAAAAAGUACAGUUAGGUUGAAGAAUAUUUAUGUCCUCUCCAAGAAGAAAACCUAACCCCAGUUUUGUUAUGCUUUCUUCGAAAUCUAUUGUUUGUUUUUGCAUAACCUUUAUGUUCUUCAAGAGACUCAGCUCUUGAUGUUCAACAAUUAUUGUUCAAGAACAAUUAUUCUCUCUGCCAUGGCUUCCAAAAGUGUCUCAAAAUUCAGAA